rnacentral:miRNA from 1 species
GUUGCAGUGUGUCUGCCUAUCUACACUUGCUGUGCAGAAUAUCCUCCAACCUGUACAGCAGGCACAGACAGGCAGAUA